CAACAUUUAGAGCAAGAAAAUGGAAUCAUUAGGGAGACUGGCAAUCAUUACAGCUCAUACAGUACCUCUGGGGCAGCUCAGGCAAUGAGUAUACUCUUCCAGCCAGGGGGUAUUAAUGAGGUUGCCAGAAGGUGGAUUUUUGUUGAAUGAACCACAGGACUUUGUAAAUUAAUGGAGUAAAGAAGCAAAAAGUAGAGAAUCUUUCCUCGAAAUUUCACCAGCAAAACUAACUUAAGGUUAUAUAUUAACUUGUUUCUCAAAGAAAAAAUAAGCAAAACAAGUUUUUGAUUGGGAAAUGCGUCCUUGUGAUCAAAGAUUCGGACUCUUACUCAACAAGUUAAAGACUGCCUGAAGUUACAUUAACAGGUUGAAUCUUUUUGCAUCUUGAAAAAGGAAAGAGUCGCUGUACAGGAUUUCUAGCAUUAUCAAAGAUGGUUUGAGAGGAGGAAUAAUGCAGCUGUGGAUCCGAGACUGAAUAAAAUA